rnacentral:tRNA from 1 species
CGGAGCGUAGCGCAGCCCGGUUAGCGCACCUGCUUUGGGAGCAGGGGGUCGCGAGUUCGAAUCUCGCCGCUCCGA